AGAAGGGCUGUGCGUACUGUGCUCUUUGCUUUGUCUUUCCGCCGUUUUAAAAAUGGGCACUUUUUGAAGAACUCGUAUAAAAGUAUUGUGGAGAAGCGUCGUGUUAAAUCUAAUCGAUGAACGGCUUUUUGUGAGGAGAAAGAAGUGAAAGCAGGCUGAAACCUCAGCACAUGGAUGAUAUCAACCAAAAACAUCCAGCGCCAGCAAGUAAAGAUGAGCCAGCGGCGAUCCCUGUGGAAAAGACUUUUUCCGCUAUGAAGCAGCCCAGAAGACGCAAGCACGCCAACAGGGAGGACAGAAGCUUGAGCUGUGAUCAGUGUGGGAAGACCUUCACUCAGAUUGGAGAAAGAAGUGAAAGCAGGCCGAAACCUCAGCACAUGUAUGAUAUCAACUAAAAACAUCCAGCACCAGCAAGUAAAGAUGAGCCAGCGGCGUUCCCUGUGGAAAAGACUUUUCCUGCUAUGAAGCAGCCCAGAAGACGCAAACGCGCCACCAGGGAGGACAGAAGCUUGAGCUGUGAUCAGUGUGGGAAGACCUUUACUCAGAUUGGUAGCUUACAAUCACAUCACAGAAAGGUCACUUAAAGAGACAUUAUAUGAUCCAUGUUAAAUCAUUUGUCUGUGAUCAGUGUGGAAAGUCUUUUCAGGAUAGAGAUCACUUAGAGAGACAUCAGGGGGUCCACAGUGAAGUUAUUCCUUUCAGCUGUUAUCAGUGUGGAAAUUCUUUUACUGCGAUUCAUAGGUUAAAAAUGCAUCAGCUCAUCCAAUCUGGAGUUAAAUCAUUUGUAUGUGGUCAGUGUGGAAAUUCUUUAUUCUAUAACACAUAUCUACUGAGGCAUCAAAAGACCCACAAAGUGUCCUCCUGUGAGAAAAGGGGCAGACCAAUGGGACAUUACCCUGACAGGGUUCAUUUGAACUCAGUGGGAGAAACAGGGGAUCUGAACAAAAGUUCUUCUAGAUGCCACAUCAAACUUAAAAAGCUUGAGAUCAGGCUUCACAGAAUUCAGUUUUAAUUUCCCGAGAAAGUCAGAGCUUCUCUAUGUCUUUGUAGAUCUAGUGAAACCAUGAAAGGGUGCAAAAAGAGGCACUGUGGUACUGCAUGAUGAAGUCAGAAGUGACAGAGAAGUAUGUGAGCCUGGUUCAGGACAUGUAUGUGUGGUAGCAGUGACUACCACACAUACAUGGGUUGAAGGUGGGGGGAGGAUUACAUCAAUUCUGAGCCCCUUCUUUCUUUUUCAAAGCGAGGGCAAUACUCAGGAAAGGAUGAUGACAAUAGAGCUGCAAGACAGGAUGGAAAGAAAAAGAGUUUAAGAGAAGAUCAUCAAUGUUGUGAAGCGAUCGAGCAGGGCCGUGCAGAGACGUUUAAAGGGGCGGGUGCUCAAAGUUAAAAAGGGGCACAUUGAACCAGGCAAAAUAACAACAACACACAAUUCAUCAAGAAUCUAAUAUGGGAUCUCAUCAUACUACAUCACUGUUGUGAGGUGGCAACAAGGCAAAGCAAACGUAGCCUAUGUUUUACCUGAUGGGUACAAUGUUGCUGUUGAGGGGUUUCUGCUGCUCCUGUUGCUGAUAGUGCUGGAGGGCAGGGCUGUGCUGAUCUGAGACUGUAGACAUUAAAAUGUUCAUAGGAGAGAUGGUAGCUGAUUAAACAAGUGUCAUGAGAUAAUAACUAAAUGCAAAGAACAUAACAAAAUGCGCUUGGAACCACAAAGCAACAAA